rnacentral:rRNA from 1 species
UACGUAGGGUGCGAGCGUUGUCCGGAAUUAUUGGGCGUAAAGAGCUUGUAGGCGGUUUGUCGCGUCUGCUGUGAAAAUCCGGGGCUCAACCCCGGGCCUGCAUUCGAUACGGGCAGACUAGAGUUCGGUAGGGGAGUCUGGAAUUCCUGGUGUAGCGGUGAAAUGCGCAGAUAUCAGGAGGAACACCGGUGGCGAAGGCGGGACUCUGGGCCGAUACUGACGCUGAGGAGCGAAAGCGUGGGGAGCAAACAGG